rnacentral:rRNA from 1 species
AGCGAACGCUGGCGGUAGGCUUAACACAUGCAAGUCGAGCGGGCAUCUUCGGAUGUCAGCGGCAGACGGGUGAGUAACACGUGGGAACGUACCCUUCGGUUCGGAACAACUCUGGGAAACUGGAGCUAAUACCGGAUACGCCCUUAUGGGGAAAGGUUUACUGCCGAAGGAUCGGCCCGCGUCUGAUUAGCUAGUUGGUGGGGUAACGGCCUACCAAGGCGACGAUCAGUAGCUGGUCUGAGAGGAUGAUCAGCCACACUGGGACUGAGACACGGCCCAGACUCCUACGGGAGGCAGCAGUGGGGAAUAUUGGACAAUGGGCGCAAGCCUGAUCCAGCCAUGCCGCGUGAGUGAUGAAGGCCUUAGGGUUGUAAAGCUCUUUUGUCCGGGACGAUAAUGACGGUACCGGAAGAAUAAGCCCCGGCUAACUUCGUG